GUUUCUGUAGUGUAGUGGUUAUCACGUUCGCCUAACACGCGAAAGGUCCCUGGUUCGAAACCAGGCAGAAACA
rfam:Fulmarus glacialis contig53458, whole genome shotgun sequence.